UGUAUGUACCAAAACUCGAAGAAGAAAGAAUUGUGAUCUAUUCUACAAUGGACAGGGCAGAUUUGGCCGAACACAGACUCGAAGCAAUUUGCGCAGCCAUGAUAGAAUCGUGGGGUUACUCCGAACUAACACACCAAAUUAGGAGGUUUUACUCAUGGUUAUUGCAGCAACAACCUUUUGCAUCAAUAGCGCAGGAAGGAAAAGCUCCUUACAUAGCAAGCAUGCAUUGAGGAAGCUGUACAUGGACAGGGCAGUGGACGAAGAGGAGCUAAGAGUCUUUACUGAAAUGAUGGUUGCAUUGGAUGAUGAGUUUGAAUGUGAUUCUUAUGAAGUGCAUCACCAGGCGAAUGAUACAAUCGACACUGGAGGGAAUAGUAAGAAAGAUGUGAAACCAGAACAAGGUAGCAUCCAGCCAAGUUCUAACAAGGGUAAGGAAAAAGAUGUAAAUGCUGGUACAUCUGGAACACAUACUGUGCCAAGAAUAAAGGCUAUCACGGCAAAAAUGAGAAUGCCCAAAAGCAAAGGAGCGGCCGUGCUGAAAUUAGACCACUUGCUCGAGUAUGCGCCACAACAGAUAGAUAUCUCAAACACUCGGGCAACUCAAUCACAGUUUGAUACGUGGUAUGAAGCAGUGCGGGUUGCAUACGACAUAGGGGAAACUGAAAUGCCAACUGUGAUGAAUGGGCUUAUGGUUUGGUGCAUUGAAAAUGGAACCUCGCCAAAUAUCAACGGAGUUUGGGUUAUGAUGGAUGGAAGUGAACAAGUCGAGUAUCCAUUGAAACCAAUUGUUGAGAAUGCAAAACCAACCCUUAGGCAAAUCAUGGCACAUUUCUCAGAUGUUGCAGAAGCGUAUAUAGAAAUGCGCAACAAAAAGGAACCAUAUAUGCCACGAUAUGGUUUAGUUCGAAAUCUGCGGGAUGCAAGUCUAGCGCGCUAUGCCUUUGACUUUUAUGAAGUCACAUCACGGACACCAGUGAGGGCUAGAGAAGCGCACAUACAAAUGAAGGCCGCAGCAUUGAAAUCAGCCCAAUCUCGACUUUUCGGGUUGGACGGUGGCGUCAGUACACAAGAGGAGAACACAGAGAGGCACACCACCGAGGAUGUUUCUCCAAGUAUGCAUACUCUACUUGGAGUGAAGAACAUGUGAUUGUGCUGCCUCUCUCCGGACGAUAUAUAAGUAUUUACAUAUGCAGUAAGUAUUUUUGGCUUUUCCUGUACUACUUUUAUUGUAACUAGUAAUCAGUUUGAAUAUUAUUCAUAAAUAGAGGUGGCAGGAUGAUUUCGUCAUUGUGGUGACUCUAUUUGUGAUUUCUGUAUUAUUAAGUUUCAAAUAAAAGUGCCGGGUCGUUGUUGUUGUAGGUGAAAUAUCGAUUAGGUGAUGUUGCGAUUUUGUCGCAACAGUGACUAUGUCUGGUUCUACUUACUUGGGUGGUGUUAUGAUUUCGUCAUAACAGUGACUGUAAACUUCAAUCAGGAGACA
rnacentral:misc_RNA from 1 species